CCGCUCUACGCUUAAGCUUCAGUUUCAUUUCAUUUUACGUUUCCUCUCUUUCUUUUUUGCUUCUCCUCCUCCUUGGCUCCUUCUCCUUCUUCUUCAACACAUGAGUGGAGGUCCUAGCUCCUCACCUCCUGUUACUGCUACUUCUUUUUGUCUAUGGAGAGUCCAGAUUUUUCACCACCCCACUUGGACGCAUCUCGGCCGUCCCUCGGUUUCCCUCUAGG
rnacentral:misc_RNA from 1 species